CCGCAUCUUUGACAGCCUGGGCUCUCUGUUGUGGGAUACCCUGGGUUUUAAUAAUUUUGAUGCAAAAUUAAAUGUCCCUGCGCUUUCUGCCCGCCUCCUUCCAUGGCGUCUCGGAUUGAAUCGGGGAGGAUAAAU